ACGUGAUCUGAGUUCAGACCGGAGUAAUCCAGGUCAGUUUCUAUCUAUAAAGGGCUUUUUCUAGUACGAAAGGACCGAAAAAGCAUGGCCAAUGACCUAUUAAGCCAUUUUAGUAAUUUAUGUCACCAACUCAAUUAAUACAAAACCUAACACCUUCCUCAAGAAAAGAGAA
rnacentral:rRNA from 1 species